GCAGGUGUGGCGGAAUUGGCAGACGCACUAGACUUAGGAUCUAGCGCUUCACGGCGUGCAGGUUCAACUCCUGUCACCUGCACCA
rnacentral:tRNA from 2 species